rnacentral:rRNA from 1 species
CCCGCUGAACUUAAGCAUAUCAAUAAGCGGAGGAAAAGAAACUAACAAGGGAUUCCCCUAGUAACGGCGAGUGAAGCGGGAAGAGCUCAAAUUUAAAAUCUGGCUUGCUUGCAAGUCCGAGUUGUAGUCUGAAGAAGCGUUUUCCAUGAAAGCUGAGGCACAAGUCCUUUGGAACAGGGCAUCAUAGAGGGUGAGAAUCCCGUCCAUGGUCUCAUGCAUUUCAUUUUGUGAUACGUUUUCUAAGAGUCAGGUUGUUUGGGAAUGCAGCCUAAAAUGGGUGGUAAAUUUCAUCUAAAGCUAAAUAUUGGCGAGAGACCGAUAGCGAACAAGUACCGUGAGGGAAAGAUGAAAAGAACUUUGAAAAGAGAGUUAAAAAGUACGUGAAAUUGUUGAAAGGGAACCGUUUGAAGCCAGUCUUGCUUACUUGUGAUCAAUCUUAGCUUCGGCUUGGAUGCACUCUCAAGUUAUGCAGGUCAACGUCAGUUUGAGAGGUGGGAAAAAAGUUUGAGGAAUGUGGCCUUCGGGUGUUAUAGCCUCUUACUAAAUACCAUCUCCUGGACUGAGGCUCGCAGCAAAAAUGUGGGCUGGUUUGCUCCUGAGGUGAAUCAUUAUUAAGACAGCUUGCUGACUUAGUUUUGUGGAUCUUCACGGUAGGCUAGCUUCUAAUUUGCUUAGGUCGUUGACAUAAUGGCUUUAAAUGACCCGUCUUGAAACACGG